UACAGAGGUCCCAAGCGUUGUUCGGAUUCACUGGGCGUAAAGGGUGCGUAGGCGGUUGGGUAAGUCUGACGUGAAAUCUCCGGGCCUAACCCGGAAAUGGCAUUGGAAACUACCUGACUAGAGGGUUGGAGGGGGGACUGGAAUACUUGGUGUAGCAGUGAAAUGCGUAGAUAUCAAGUGGAACACCAGUGGCGAAGGCGAGUCCCUGGACAACUCCUGACACUGAGGCACGAAAGCUAGGGGAGCAAACAGG
rnacentral:rRNA from 1 species